GAAUUUUGGACAAUGGGGGCAACCCCGAUCCAGCCAUCCCGCGUGUGCGAUGAAGGCCUUCGGGUUGUAAAGCACUUUUGGCAGGGAAGAAAAGGCUAUGGCUAAUUCCCGGAGCUGCUGACGGUACCUGCAGAAUACGCACCGGCUAACUACGUGCCAGCAGCCGCGGUAAUACGUAGGGUGCAGGCGUCAAUCGGAAUUACUGGGCGUAAAGCGUGCGCAGGCGGUUUGGCAAGAAGGAUGUGAAAUCCCAGGGCUUAACCUUGGAACUGCAUUCUUAACUGCCAGGCUAGAGUAUGUCAGAGGGGGGUAGAAGUCCACGUGUAGCAGUGAAAUGCGUAGAGAUGUGGAGGAAUACCGAUGGCGAAGGCAGCCCCCUGGGAUAAUACUGACGCUCAUGCACGAAAGCGUGGGGAGCAAAC
rnacentral:rRNA from 1 species